UAAAAAAUGGUUGACAUCCCAUCUUAAGUGUCAAUGAAACAGUCAAAACAAAACAGUCCUUCUGGCACUAAACAAAGAGGUGUCAGUUUUCUUCACAUUACAAAGAGGAUACAAACAAUGGUUUAAUCAACAUUCUAAUGCAAUUGCCUGGCCUAAAAUCCUGCAUUCUUACAUUUGAAGAAAAACACUGGAAUACAUUAAGUUUGUUGUAACUUUUUAAAACUCAACAGUAGAUGUUGGCUGGUUGGCAGGUGGAGGAGCAGUAUUUUGGCUGGUUGCUGGAUGUUGGCUGGCUGCUGGUAGGUGCGGGAGCAGUCUUUUGGCUUGUUGCUUUAUGUUGGCUGGCUACUAUAGGUGGAGGAGCAGUGUUCUUGGCUGGCUGGUGAUAGGUGAGGUAGCAAUCUUUUGGCUGGUUGCUGGAUGUUUGGCGGGCUGCUGGUAGGUAGAGGAGCAGUGUUUUAACUGGUGGCUGGAUGUUGGCUAGCUGCUGGUGGGAGCAAUGGUUAUUCCAGAUGUUACCAUUGUGUAGCAAGAAUUAUUGAAUGAGAUAGGAGUAUGGGUCUAAUAAUUUAAAAUACAAUAUACUAUUUAAAAUACACAGUGGCAAAAGAGUUAAUCAAAAACACACACACAAAAUGAAUCAAAGCAUCAAAUCAAAUAACUCAGACCAAACAAAAUGAUAGCAGAAGAUUGAAAAUAAUACACACAAACCGAAAACAAAAUGCCUUGAGAUCAGGGACAAAACAAGUUUUGAUUUUCAAAAAAAAAAAUCUUGACUAUUUAAAAAAAAACAUGUAUACAUCUUUGUUAAAUGAGGCUUUGCCUAUAUAACCAUGUUUUAGAACAACCUCCCAGUUUUAAAUUUGUCAUAAAUGACAAAUGUUUGCGGGAUCAGAACUAGAUUUUCGUCAACACCAUCAGAAACAUACAAAUGUCAAAAAAAUUAUUCUGAAUGACCUUAUCACAGAUAUUUUUACUCUUAGCUGUUUCUUGGUUCUCUUAAUUGUAUACACAUGUUUUUAAAUUAAUCAUAUCUCCUUUUAAAAGUUAGAUUUGUCAUUGUUUAAUAAUUACAGUUUAGGUUCUAUGUAUUAACCAAUAUAACAUUUAAUCUCCAAUAUGAACAGAGAUACUUAGAAGUGUUCAAAUUACACAUUAACUUUGAAAAUGCAACAAUGUUAUAGACAAAUAUUCUUGAUGGAACAAAACAUAUCAUCUUUUUUUUUUUAAAAAACAACAUAAAGUCCAUCUGACAGAGUUGACAAGGCAUCGACGGUGUUGACACAAAACUGACGAUGGUGACAAACUUGGAGUACAAGGACUAGACAGUAGUCCAUGAACAUAACCCCAUUGUAAAGUCCUCAACCUCUUCAAUAUAUAUGCAGCUUAUACACAAACUACAAACCCCAUCUCCAGAAAAGUUGGGAUAUUUUCCAAAAAGCCUGUCAAUAAAGUGACUACAACAACGUGGCUUCAUACACACAGAUUGCGUGUUCUUUAAAGGUCUGCUGCCAGUUCAGAUCUGUCUCCUAUUGAAAAUGUAUGGCGCAUCAUUAAGAGUACAAACAGACAGUGAUGACCACAAACUGUUGAGUAGCGGAAGUUUUUGUAUCAAGCAGGAAAUAACAAUAAUUCCAAUUAUAAAACUGGCACAAUUAGUAUCUUCACUUUCCAAACGAUUAGUUGUUAUUCGAGGAAAGGUGAGGAAACACAAUGGUAAACAUGCCUCUGGCUCAACAUUUAUUUGCGUGUGUGUUGCACACAUUUGUUUAUAUUUUCAAAAUACAGUUACAUUGAUCAGUAAAACUAUUGAAAAUCUUUCCUUUGUACUUUUGUCAGUUAAAUAAAGGGUCAUGUAAAUUAA